AUAAAACGAGCUUAUUCGUUGGCAAAAUAUGAGGGAAACUGUGAACGAAAGUGCAAGUGCCCAUAUGCACCAAAACUCCUUAAAACAGAGGUAAAUUUAUUAAUUUGUAAAUAUAGAAAUGUAUUCUAUUGAAGAAAAAGGCAAACAUAUGGAUUUAAAAGGCAAACACAUCGUAUGGUUCAUACACAUAGUCCAAGGCAUGAUGAGUCAACGUUAACAGUAGACUGUCCAUUCUGGUGGCUUUGGAAACAAGAAACCAGAAACUGCCUCAUCUACAGCAGUUACAUUAAGCCAAUUCUUCUCAUGGAAGUAUGACAUCAUUUAAAAAAAUGCCCUGUGCAAUUUAUUUCAAUCAAUCAGAUUACAAGGAGGGCCAAUCAGGGCUUGAAACAAUAGGAGAGAGAAAGAAGGAAGGCAAAAGUGGAGCACAAUGGACAACAAAAAGUUGAGCACCGAUUGUCAGUGAGAAACAAAAAAUGCAGAAAAGCAUUUACAUUUGUCUAAAAUUGAGGAGACUAUUCAAAAGUAAAUAAACUGGUUAAACAAAGGUAAAUAUCUAGAAACAAUCCACCUUAACUGUUAUUAAAAGUAUAUACGAGGGGUGAAAAAGGACCAAAACACCAAAAUAGGAGACAAAGUAUUCAUCAAGUACAUCAAACUAUAGUAUCAGGACAUACCUGAGUCAUCAUUUCUGGCCGAAUUGACUGUUGAAGCACGCAGAGAGCACCAUUCUUACCAUGACCAGAACAGCACACCUGAAAAGUACACCCAAAUGAAAACAACAAAGGCUACCAUUUUUCUUUUUUUCUUGGUAAGUAAGAAAGGUUACCAUAUUACAAAUGUACAAAGCAAUAAACCAUUAGAAUUGUAUGAUUUGCUGCUUUAGGAAUGUCAGUCCAGUAUGGAUUAAUAAGAAG